UACGGGGGGGGGCAAGCGUUUGGUUCGGAAUUACUGGGCGUAAAGGGCUCGUAGGCGGCCAACUAAGUCAGACGUGAAAUCCCUCGGCUUAACCGGGGAACUGCAUCUGAUACUGGAUGGCUUGAGUUCGGGAGAGGGAUGCGGAAUUCCAGGUGUAGCGGUGAAAUGCGUAGAUAUCUGGAGGAACACCGGUGGCGAAAGCGGCUUCCUG
rnacentral:rRNA from 1 species